GAGAGGAGCUGUCCUUAGUACGAGAGGACCGGGAUGGACGCACCGCUGGUGUACCAGUUGUUCUGCCAAGGGCAUCGCUGGGUAGCUAUGUGCGGACGGGAUAAGUGCUGAAAGCAUCUAAGCAUGAAGCCCCCCUCAAGAUGAGAUUUCCCAUUCCGCAAGGAAGUAAGAUCCCUGAAAGAUGAUCAGGUUGAUAGGUCUGAGGUGGAAGUGUGGCGACACAUGGAGCUGACAGAUACUAAUCGAUCGAGGACUUAACCAAUUU
rnacentral:rRNA from 1 species